rnacentral:rRNA from 1 species
UGAGGAAUAUUGGGCAAUGCCCGCAAGGGUGACCCAGCAACACCGCGUGGAGGAUGAAUGUCGUAAGACUGUAAACUCCUGUUAGAGGGGAAGAAUAGUACCGGUUGGACCGGUAUAUGACUGUACCCUCAGAGAAAGCCCCGGCUAACUACGUGCCAGCAGCCGCGGUAAUACGUAGGGGGCAAGCGUUGUCCGGAUUUACUGGGUGUAAAGGGCGCGCAGGCGGGAUAAAAAGUCAGUGGUGAAAUCCUACAGCUUAACUGUAGAACUGCCUUUGAUACUUUUAUUCUUGAGUUCGGGAGAGAGAGACGGAAUUCCAGGUGUAGUGGUGAAAUACGUAGAUAUCUGGAAGAACACCAGUUGCGAAGGCGGUCUCUUGGUCCGACACUGACGCUGAGGCGCGAAAGCGUGGGGAGCAAACA